rnacentral:misc_RNA from 1 species
UUAUAAAUUUUAUAGUACUCAGACAGCAAUAUAAAGGAAUUAAGGGGUCCUCUGGCAGGCACUAACCAGCCAAAGCCAGUAGUUAUAAAACAGGCCUGCCAAAGCAACAAAGGUAUUAUAAACAAAGGGUGGGAGAUAUACCCUAAAAGGGCAUGUUCUCUGUAAUGAUCCUUCCGCAGGUUCACCUACGGAAA